rnacentral:rRNA from 1 species
CGGUUCCUACGGGAGGCAGCAGUAGGGAAUCUUCCACAAUGGGCGAAAGCCUGAUGGAGCAACGCCGCGUGGGUGAAGAAGGUCUUCGGAUCGUAAAACCCUGUUGUUAGAGAAGAAAGUGCGUGAGAGUAACUGUUCACGUUUCGACGGUAUCUAACCAGAAAGCCACGGCUAACUACGUGCCAGCAGCUGCGGUAAUACGUAGGUGGCAAGCGUUAUCCGGAUUUAUUGGGCGUAAAGGGAACGCAGGCGGUCUUUUAAGUCUGUUGUGAAAGCCUUCGGCUUAACCGCGGUAGUGCAUUGGA